UACAAAGAGAAGCGACCUCGCGAGAGCAAGCGGACCUCAUAAAGUAUGUCGUAGUCCGGAUUGGAGUCUGCAACUCGACUCCAUGAAGUCGGAAUCGCUAGUAAUCGUAGAUCAGAAUGCUACGGUGAAUACGUUCCCGGGCCUUGUACACACCGCCCGUCACACCAUGGGAGUGGGUUGCAAAAGAAGUAGGUAGCUUAACCUUCGGGAGGGCGCUUACCACUUUGUGAUUCAUGACUGGGGUGAAGUCGUAACAAGGUAACCGUAGGGGAACCUGCGGUUGGAUCACCUCCUU
rnacentral:rRNA from 1 species